rnacentral:rRNA from 1 species
ACCUCCGGACUGGGGUUCGCAAGCUUCACGGCGAACGUACCUCGGGAAGUUGGUUAAACCUCACUACUUAGAGGAAGGUGAAGUCGUAACAAGGUCUCCGUAGGUGAACCUGCAGAAGGAUC